rfam:Fulmarus glacialis contig18072, whole genome shotgun sequence.
CAUUUGGAGUCAUUUGACUCCACCUACACUCAGAAAAACAAAGUU